UCCUUCCCAGACAUUCCCAUUUCUAUGCUUGGGGCUCGGUGGCAGAGCGUUUGCUUAGCAUUCCCAAGGUCCCCCGUUUGAGCCCCAGGACUGGGUGUCAGGGAGAUCACACAAUCACAAGCUACAAGCCCUUCCUAGAUAGUCCUCACUACACUGUGAUCCAGUUCGUACUCUCCAGUGUUCAACGGAGAGGAAUGGACUUUUGGAAGCUCCUAAGCCAAUUGGAACCUGGUCCGGCCUGAGAUACCAGACCUGCCAGGGAGCAAGAUAUGGAUAGACGUUCACUCUGGAUCGCUCUGGAUCAAUCUGGAUCAAUCUGGAUCACUCUGGAUCUGAAGCUUCUCAGGUUCUGGAGUGUGACCUUAGCCCGUGUCCAACAAGACAGUCCAGGUCCUCUCUAGGGUCCAGCGUCAAGUUCCUUCAUCAAGCUGUUGGAGCUGGUCCUAAUGUCUCCAUUCCCAAGUAAGAACACUCUCCACUUU